rnacentral:rRNA from 1 species
UUGCACGCUGGCGGCAUGCCUUACCCCUGCCAGUCGAACGGUAACAGGUCUUCGGAUGCUGACGAGUGGCGAACGGGUGAGUAAUACAUCGGAACGUGCCCGAUCGUGGGGGAUAACGAGGCGAAAGCUUUGCUAAUACCGCAUACGAUCUACGGAUGAAAGCGGGGGAUCUUCGGACCUCGCGCGGACGGAGCGGCCGAUGGCAGAUUAGGUAGUUGGUGGGAUAAAAGCUUACCAAGCCGACGAUCUGUAGCUGGUCUGAGAGGAUGAUCAGCCACACUGGGACUGAGACACGGCCCAGACUCCUACGGGAGGCAGCAGUGGGGAAUUUUGGACAAUGGGCGAAAGCCUGAUCCAGCCAUGCCGCGUGCAGGAUGAAGGCCUUCGGGUUGUAAACUGCUUUUGUACGGAACGAAAAGCCUCUUUCUAAUAAAGAGGGGUCAUGACGGUACCGUAAGAAUAAGCACCGGCUAACUACGUG